AAGGACAGGUGGGGUAUAUAUUGGCUCAGGUGACUUAGACAAGACAGAUGGGGACAAUAUGACGUUCACAUCUGGACUCUGUCUAUUCUUGCUCUGUUGUUUGGUGCCCACGCUGAGUGUUAAAGAAAAAUCCACCGAUCACCGACUGAUUUACCAAAGCGAGGACAUAAUUAAACAACAAGAUGCUGAGGAGGCCAAGUUGAAGAACGUAUCAGCAUUAGGCUCUCCAAAAGAUUCAGCGGACAGCAGUUCGAAAAAAUUUCAAAGUGAGAAUGCGAUAGAAUAUUUACCAAAAUCAGAAAAAGUGCGAUGUUCGGGGAGGCUAACCAUGGCAAACUGACUGAGACCGUUGUUGUCCAGCUACCGG